UGAAUGCACUAACUGUAAGUCGCUCUGGAUAAGAGCAUCUGCUAAAUGACAAAUA
rfam:Salmo salar isolate Sally breed double haploid chromosome ssa15, whole genome shotgun sequence.